rnacentral:rRNA from 1 species
CCUACGGGGGACAGCAGUGAGGAAUAUUGGUCAAUGGACGAGAGUCUGAACCAGCCAAGUAGUGUGAAGGAUGACUGCCCUAUGGGUUGUAAACUUCUUUUAUAUGGGAAUAAAGUGUUCCACGUGUGGGAUUUUGUAUGUACCAUAUGAAUAAGGAUCGGCUAACUCCGUGCCAGCAGCCGCGGUAAUACGGAGGAUCCGAGCGUUAUCCGGAUUUAUUGGGUUUAAAGGGAGCGUAGGUGGAUUGUUAAGUCAGUUGUGAAAGUUUGCGGCUCAACCGUAAAAUUGCAGUUGAAACUGGGAGUCUUGAGUGCAGUAGAGGUAGGCGGAAUUCGUGGUGUAGCGGUGAAAUGCUUAGAUAUCACGAAGAACUCCGAUUGCGAAGGCAGUUCACUGGACUGCAACUGACGCUGAGGCUCGAAAGUGUGGGUAUCAUACAGGAUUAGAUACCCGAGUAGUC